rnacentral:rRNA from 1 species
CCCUUAGAUGUCCUGGGCCGCACGCGCGCUACACUGAUACAAUCAACAAGCACCCAACCUUGGUCGAGAGGCCUGGGUAAUCUUGUGAAACUGUAUCGUGAUGGGGAUAGAUGCUUGUAAUUUUUCAUCUUCAACGAGGAAUUCCUAGUAAACGCGAGUCAUCAGCUCGCAUUGAUUACGUCCCUGCCCUUUGUACACACCGCCCGUCGCUCCUACCGAUUGAGUGGUCCGGUGAGGCUUUGGGAUCUGAGCGGAAAGAGCGUUUCGCUGUUUCUGCUCGGAAAACUCAGUCGAACCUUAUCAUUUAGAGGAAGGAGAAGUCGUAACA